CCUAAUCACCUCCACAGCCGCCAUUUCAGCUCUCCGUCUUCAAUCUUCCCCACUCUUUGCGUUGGACCUCCCUUAUUGUUUACUCAUCGAUCGAUUAUGUGUUGAUUAGGAAUUCAAUCUUAUGUGAUCUCGGAGUCAAGACCUAUACCCUUGCACUGAAUCAAAACAUAUGGUUUGUCAUUUAUAGGUAAAUACGAGAACUGAUUCAGGGCUGUUUGGGAUUGCUUAUUGAUCGGUUUGACUUUUGGGUGUUUAUUUUUCAGAAUCAAAUUGUGCUUAAAAUUAGGUUUAAGAAAAAGUGAGAUGUUACUAGAGAGGAUAGGAGUUUUUGCUGGUUCAGAUCUGAUUAAAGCUGCUGAUCAUCUCUUAAAGUGUUGUUCUUAUUCAAUAAUCAUUUAAAAAUAUCUAUCAUUUUGUUAAUUAGGGUUUGAAGUUCUGAAUAUGGUGGUUAUGUGC